rnacentral:rRNA from 1 species
CCUAACACAUGCAAGUCGAGCGCAGUCCUUCGGGACCGAGCGGCGGACGGGUUAGUAACGCGUGGAACAUACCCUUUUCUACGGAAUAGCCUCGGGAAACUGAGAGUAAUACCGUAUAAGCCCUUCGGGGGAAAGAUUUAUCGGGAAAGGAUUGGCCCGCGUUAGAUUAGAUAGUUGGUGGGGUAACGGCCUACCAAGUCUACGAUCUAUAGCUGGUUUUAGAGGACGAUCAGCAACACUGGGACUGAGACACGGCCCAA